CCCCUAGAUGUUCUGGGCCGCACGCGCGCUACACUGAACAGUUCAACAAGUCUUAACCUUGGCCGAUAGGUCUGGGUAAUCUUUGAACGCUGUUCGUGAUGGGGAUAGAUGAUUGCAAUUAUUCAUCUUCAACGAGGAAUUCCUAGUAAACGCAAGUCAUCAGCUUGCAUUGAUUACGUCCCUGCCCUUUGUACACACCGCCCGUCGCACCUACCGAUUGAAUGGUCCGGUGAAAUCUUCGGAUCUGAGAGAUGUCUGAUUAAUUUCGGACGCCUUUUGGAAAAGUUGUUUAAACCUUACCAUUUAGAGGAAGGUGAAGUCGUANCA
rnacentral:rRNA from 1 species